AAACACACCAGGCAGGCAGGCAGAGAGUGCUGGUAAAUCAGGAGCAAGUGAUCAGUGAGCAAUGGGGGAGACACAGUGGAGGAAGCUUCAGUGGGAGGGAAGAGAAGUACUCAGAGAGUGGCAGAAGAAGAUAAUCGACUGGGAAAGCAGAGAGAUCAAAACAGCAUGAAGGGAUACCCUAAGGGAUUUCACCAAAGAAAGGCGUACACUUCACAGCGGAGAGAAAUGCAGACUCCAUAUAAGUCAAUGCAAGGCACAGGCAGCCCAGACAAGUGCUAAUCUUCAUCUCCUGUGCAUUGCUUUUCAACUGCAUCCAAAGCAGCAGCCUGGAGAAUAGGUGAGAUGGCACAGCUACAGGCAGGAUGGGAUACCCUGACCCUGGGCUCCAGACACUCCAUCUGCCCCUUUACCCUUUACUAGGAACUGCCUUCUCCACACCUCUGCCACCCAGGACACAACAAGGUAGAAGAUCUUUUUUGGCUUUGCACAAUUGUUAACCCUGCUGAAGUUUUACCUUGGAAAUCAAAGACAUUGGAUACUUUGUGAACUUCACUUGUGGAUAUCAAACUAUUGAAUUAAACCAAAGAAAAAUUAUAAUGGCAUAAAAAAAUGGCUCAGUUCUACUAUAAAAGAAGCAACAGCUCUCCAUUUCAAGACCGGAUUCCCCUGCGCAUUGUACGUUCUGAAUCGGAGCUCUCACCAUAUGAGAAAGCUUACCUGACCUCGGUAGAGAAAGGUGACUAUGCCAGCGUGAAGCAAGCCCUGGAUGAGGCAGAAAUUUAUUUCAAAAUCAAUAUUAAUUGCAUUGAUCCCCUAGGAAGAACUGCUUUAUUGAUUGCCAUUGAAAAUGAGAAUCUUGAGCUGAUUGAGCUUUUGUUAAGUUACAAUGUCUAUGUUGGAGAUGCUUUACUGCAUGCCAUACGGAAAGAAGUGGUCGGGGCCGUUGAAUUGCUUUUAAACCACAAAAAACCAAGCGGGGAAAAACAGGUUCCACCAAUACUUCUGGAUAAACAGUUCUCUGAAUUUACUCCAGACAUUACUCCAAUCAUUUUGGCUGCUCAUACAAAUAAUUAUGAAAUUAUAAAACACCUGGUUCAGAAAGGUGUCUCAAUCCCAAGACCACACGAAGUUCGGUGUAACUGCGUGGAAUGCGUUUCUGGUUCUGAUGUGGAUAGUUUACGACACUCUCGCUCAAGGCUGAAUAUCUACAGGGCGCUGGCAAGCCCAUCUCUAAUUGCACUGUCAAGUGAGGAUCCCUUUCUAACUGCAUUUCAACUAAGCUGGGAGCUUCAGGAGUUAAGUAAAGUGGAAAAUGAGUUUAAAUCUGAGUAUGAAGAGCUGUCAAAGCAAUGUAAGCAAUUUGCAAAAGACCUUCUGGACCAAACAAGAAGCUCCAGGGAAUUGGAAAUUAUUCUUAACUAUAGGGAUGAUGGUGGUCUCUUGGAAGACCAGAAUGGCAAUGACCUUGCCCGUCUAAAAUUGGCAAUUAAGUACCACCAGAAAGAGUUUGUUGCUCAGCCUAACUGUCAGCAGCUGUUGGCAUCGCGCUGGUAUGAUGAAUUUCCAGGCUGGAGGAGACGGCACUGGGCAGUGAAGAUGGUGACAUGUGUAAUAAUUGGACUACUUUUCCCAGUCUUCUCGGCUUGUUACUUAAUAGCUCCAAAAAGCAACCUUGGACUCUUUAUCAGGAAGCCAUUCAUCAAAUUCAUCUGCCACACUGCAUCUUACUUGACUUUUCUCUUCCUCUUGCUGAGAGCUUCACAAAACGAAUACAACAUAAACCAGCCAGGACCAGUACCUGCUCCCAUUGAAUGGAUGAUAUUACCGUGGGUUUUGGGUAUCAUAUGGGCUGAAAUCAAACAGAUGUGGGAUGGAGGAUUUCAAGAUUAUGUCCAUGACUGGUGGAACUUAAUGGAUUUUGUGAUGAAUUCAUUAUACCUGGCAACUAUUUCAUUAAAAAUUGUUGCAUAUUCACAGUACAAAUCAGAAUCAAUCACUCGAAAUGACUGGGACAUGUGGCAUCCAACACUGGUUGCUGAAGCAUUAUUUGCUAUCGCCAACAUCUUUAGCUCUUUGCGGCUAAUUUCAUUGUUCACAGCUAACUCUCACCUGGGUCCCCUUCAGAUUUCUUUAGGAAGAAUGCUUCUGGACAUUUUAAAGUUCCUUUUUAUAUACUGUCUUGUGCUACUUGCAUUUGCCAAUGGUUUGAAUCAAUUGUACUUCAACUACGAUACCAACAACUUUGAUAAUAAAACCUUGAACUGCACUGGCAUCCGUUGUGAAAAACAAAAUAAUGCCUUCUCAACGUUAUUUGAGACUCUUCAGUCCUUGUUCUGGUCAAUUUUUGGUCUUAUCAAUCUCUAUGUAACAAAGGUGCAACCUGAUCACAAGUUCACAGAAUUUGUCGGUGCAACCAUGUUUGGGACCUAUAAUGUCAUCUCCUUGGUUGUUCUUCUAAACAUGUUAAUAGCCAUGAUGAACAACUCCUACCAGCUCAUUGCUGAUCAUGCAGACAUUGAAUGGAAGUUCGCUAGAACAAAGUUGUGGAUGAGUUACUUUGAAGAGGGUGGAACACUUCCCACUCCAUUCAAUAUAAUACCUAGUCCCAAAUCUGCGUGGUAUUUUUUUAAAUGGAUUCAGAAACAAGUAUGCAAGCAAUACACAAGAAAAAAGCCUCAAAGCUUUGGAACAAUCGGUAGAAGAGCAGCUGACAAUUUCCGAAGACAUAAUCAAUAUCAGGAGGUGAUGAGGAACCUUGUGAAGAGAUAUGUAGCAGCAAUGAUCAGAGAUGCCAAGAAAGAAGAAGGACUAACAGAAGAAAACUUCAAGGAAUUGAAACAAGACAUUUCAAGCUUCCGUUUUGAGGUUUUGGGUUUGUUAAAGGGAAACAAACUAAAUCUCAAUAAUACAAAAGUGAGCAACAGCUCAGAUAACUCCGAGGCAGAAGAGAAGAGUCGGCCCAAGGAAAAGAAAAGUCGAACACAAAAAAACAGGAUCAGCUUCUUUGACAUCACCACGAUGAUCCAUCCCAGAACAGCAGAGAUAACUGCUGAAAAGCAUACCAUAAGUAAUGGAUCUGCCACCCUGGCUUCAGAGACUGCCAAGGAGAAGCCAAAGAAAAUCCAGUUUUCCAAAGACAUAAAAAGCUUUGGGCUUUUUCACAGACGUCCAAAAUCUUGCAGCAUGGAACAGAGCUCUAACACAAUUUACUCUGUUUCGGAGGAAGUUCCAGAAGAACUCAUAUCCAAUCCCAGUGAAAAAACAUUGGACACAGUCAAAGCUCUAGAGCCGAACUGUGAAUUAAAUGUAAAUACUUUGAAUGAACAGUGUACAGUAACAGAAGAUACCCAGGAUACCUUGGAAUGUCUACCACUACAGCCUUCCGACAGUUUUGUAAAUGACAGUCCAACAGACAAGGUUGAACCCACUAUAGACAAAGAUGUUAUUCCGGAAACAAGUAGCACACAAGCAGAAAAACCUGCAGAAGAAGAAGAUUCCAUAACAAGACUGUGAUUUUCAAUUGAUGUAUAUAUGAAAUAUAUAUUUUAUCAGUGCAUUUUGGAAUGUUUGAAUAUUCCUUUGCGAACCCCGUCAACAUGCUGCCAGUUUAGGCAUGAAAGCUCAAUAUACACUCAAUCAUAUACAGGGAUGGAAAUACAUUAUAGGAAUACAUGGAAUGCUUGGUUAAAAGGAUAUACAUUUGAUACUAUGUUAAUCAAGGUAAAAUGUAUGCAGAGGCGAAAGGAAUCAAACGCUGCAGGGGUGUGAUCUAUCUUCAUGACCGCAGUCCUGGAAUCUGGUGAUGAAGCAAUGCUAAAUAUUUCCUGCUUCAGGUCCUCCUGCUGUAAUGUGUCCACUAUCGAUUGAAUCCUACUAAUUACUGAAUUGGAAGACAAAGGCACAGAAUGUUUAGCCAGGUUAAAGUAAUCCUCUACAGACAUUAAACUCAUUGAGCUUCUAAUAUGUCUCCACAGCAGGCAUCUGGUUUUGGAGUCUUUAGGGACACGCUACAUAAUUUCUAAAAGUACCUUCAGGCACCUGUAAGUGCUUUCUGUGUAGACAUACAGUAGUAGCCAUUUCAUAACCUUAAUGUUAGCAUGGGUUUAUUUUAAUGAUAGACACAGAUAUAAAUUUGCCAGCCCAGCAUUCAGUAGCCAAAUCGAGCUAUCCUGCAGAAACCACCAUGUCGUCUUAUCUCAGUGGAAGACUCAAUCAUCUGGAAUGGAUGUCCCCAGGGGUGUCUCCACAGGUUGUAAACAAGCACACGUGACUGUUUCUGUUGUAUGUUUUCAAACAAUGUUCUAUGUCUAUGGAUCCCUUAACAUCCUUGAUUCUUUAACGUCCAUAUGUAGACCACUUCCCUGAAUGUAUAUUAUGUGCCUUUUACAUCUACUCAACCGGAUCACCCAGAAGUAUAGUCCACGUAAUUUAAAUUUGUUAUUAUUUGAUCAAGUAUUUACCGGCUAAGAAAGAUAGGUAAAAUAGGGCAUGCACAUUAUUAGCUUGCACAAAUUGUUACAAUAUCCUCUAAGUUACAUGCCAUGCAUUCAGUACAUCCCACGAGGUUGCUUAAUUGCUUAGUCACUUUUCACUAGUAAUGUUUUUCUUACUCUUCUGAACUGUUCGAAACUACCUUCUUUAAAACAACAUGAACUAAGAAGCAAAUGUUUUAUUUAUGUUAAGAUAUUUGCAUGCAUUGUCUACAAAAAAGCUUUUGCUUAUUGUCUUCCGUGGGUGUACAGUAUCUAAAUAUCCUUGAUUGGUAUAGUAUGGAAUAAUAUGGUGUAUAGACAGCUGUAGUAGAACUUGAAGGCUGAUUUCCAUUAAAUGCGAGAAAACAUACUCAGGUGUUGUUGAAAUAAACAGUGCAAUUAGGCUGUUUUUCAUCUUUGCCACUCAUUCCCCCACCCAUUUUAAAUGUUUACUUUUUAUACUAAGAAAGGCAGACUGGUGUUGGUCAAAGUUGCAGAAUACAAGACAAAAAAGAACUGCUCAAAAAUUGAAAAUAAUCAAACUGGCUAUAGGAAAUCACAUAUACAUUUAUUAACAUAGUUAGGAUAGUAUUAAUUGGUUAUAAUGGUAUUAUGGAUUACAAAAUGGCUCCCAGUUUGAAAUGAAUGCUUCUUUUUAAUUUUCAAUGCUGCUUUCACGUAAAGUCCAAUUGAACUUGCUAAAUACAUUGCAAAUGCAUCAAAAAAGUAUUAUGCCGGGUACACAUAACCAUUUUUAAUGGUCUAGAGAAAACAUAAUUUUUUC